rnacentral:rRNA from 1 species
GUGCCAGCCGCUGCGGUAAUACGGAGGGUGCAAGCGUUAAUCGGAAUUACUGGGCGUAAAGCGCACGCAGGCGGUUGAUUAAGUUAGAUGUGAAAUCCCCGGGCUUAACCUGGGAACUGCAUUUAAAACUGGUCAGCUAGAGUCUUGUAGAGGGGGGUAGAAUUCCAGGUGUAGCGGUGAAAUGCGUAGAGAUCUGGAGGGAAUACCGGUGGCGAAGGCGGCCCCCUGGACAAAGACUGACGCUCAGGUGCGAAAGCGUGGGGGAGCAAACAGGAUUAGAUACCCUGGUAGUCCACGCCGUAAACGAUGUCGACUUGGAGGUUGUGCCCUUGAGGCGUGGCUUCCGGAGCUAACGCGUUAAGUCGACCGCCUGGGGAGUACGGCCGCAAGGUUAAAACUCAAAUGAAUUGACGGGGGCCCGCACAAGCGGUGGAGCAUGUGGUUUAAUUCGAUGCAACGCGAAGAACCUUACCUGGUCUUGACAUCCACGGAAGUUUUCAGAGAUAGAGAAUGUGCCUUCGGGAACCGUGAGACAGGUAG